UACAGGAGGUCUCGAGCGUUGUUCGGAUUCAUUGGGCGUAAAGGGUGCGUAGGUGGCGCUGUAAGUCGGGUGUGAAAUCCUGGGCUUAACCCGGACUGCAUUCGAUACUGCAGUGCUUGAGGACUGGAAGAGGAGACUGGAAUUCAUGGUGUAGCAGUGAAAUGCGUAGAGAUCAUGAGGAAGACCAGUGGCGAAGGCGGGUCUCUGGACAGUUCCUGACACUGGAGGCAACGAAGGCCCAGGGGAGCAAACGGG
rnacentral:rRNA from 1 species